CAGCAGACACAUUCCAGCCAAUCAGCAGCAGACCCUCCCUCCCAGACCCUCCCACCUCCUGGACAGCAUCCAUUUUACAUUCAUUGUGAAGCUGCAUUCUUAGUGAGCUGUCCAGAAGGUGGAAGGGUCUGGGAGGGAGGGUCUGCUGCUGACUGGCUGGAAUGUGUCUGCUG
rnacentral:miRNA from 1 species